UCUCUCUUUUCCAACCUGUGACACUCUAUCCUAUACAUAGCCGGCCUUCUGUCUCUUCUGGACUGUCCUGUCUCCGAGGUGAAACAAUCUGACCCUCCCCUGCUCUUUCAUUUCCCUUUCUUCCGUGCCUACAGAACCAGGAGGACGAGGAGGAGGGAGAGAGGGGAGGAGAGAAUCCAAUAACCCAUGAAGGCUUUCCGGGUUGUUGGGCUACUUGUGCUGGUUGUUGUGAGGUGCGUUCAGGGCUAUGACUACUUGGAUGGAGUUAAUGGGAGUGCCCCUCAGCCUCUCCUUGUAGAUCUGACCCUCAUUCGAUCUGCUACCGAAAAUGGGGCUGUCUGUUUGGAUGGAACGCCAGGUGCUUACCACCUGCAUCCAGGGUCUGGAUCAGGAGCAAACAGUUGGCUCGUUGAACUAGAGGGGGGAGGCUGGUGCAAUGAUAUCAGUUCAUGCGUAUACCGCAAAACAACUAGUCGUGGUUCAUCAAACUACAUGGAGAAACAGAUACCAUUUACUGGAAUAUUGAGCAACAAACCCGAAGAAAAUCCUGACUUCUACAACUGGAACAGAGUUAGAAUUUGCUAUUGUGAUGGUGCAUCAUUUGCAGGUGAAGGCUAUAAUGAGGCUGCUGGCCUUUAUUUUCGAGGACAACGUAUCUUUUCAGCUGCAAUGGAAGACCUGAUGUCAAAAGGAAUGCAUUCAGCCGAGCAGGCCUUCCUUACUGGAUGCUCUGCUGGGGGUCUGGCUUCCAUACUACACUGUGAUGAGUUUCGGGCAUUACUUCCAGGAAACACUAAUGUCAAGUGCCUAGCUGAUGCUGGAUUGUUCCUUGAUGUUACUGAUGUAGCUGGUGUGCGCUCUCUAAGAUCCUUCUAUGAAGGUGUAGUAACUAUGCAGGGAGUGGCCAAGAACUUGCCAGGAUCUUGUACUGCCAAGAUGGACGCAACUUCGUGCUUCUUUCCACAGAAUUUAUUGAGCAUUAUUCAGACCCCAACUUUUCUUCUGAAUGCAGCAUAUGAUGUAUGUCAGAUUCGAAGUUUAACCUCCGAGAAUGCUGAUCCUAAAGGUUAUUGGAAAGCAUGCAAAUAUAAUUAUUCAGAGUGCAAUGAAGAUCAAAUAAAUUUUCUGCAAGGAUUGAGGAACCAAAUGCUUGACGCCACAAAAGGGUUCUCUAAUUCCAAGCAAAAUGGACUAUUUAUUAAUUCAUGUUUUGCUCAUUGCCAAUCAGAGACACAGGAUACAUGGUAUGGAGAUAACUCUCCAACUAUCCAAAACAAGAUAUCCGGAUUAUCAGCAUAGUUAGGAGGUACAUCAGCCCACUCCUCUAACCAAGCGGCAUUGUAGUACAUAUUGUCUGCUACAUUCCCUGGGAUAUAACUGAAGUGGAAUCAGGAUCCAAUAGCUCGCCACAUAUCUUUCUUCUUAUCCUUUUUCAGCAUUGAGUCAACCCUCUGCUACUUCGAAUCUCUGUUGAGGAAGGGGAUUGCAAAAUCUGUUGGUGACUGGUACUUUGAUCGAGCUGAAGUCAAGGCAAUAGACUGCCCAUAUCCUUGUGACAAGACAUGCCAUAAUCCUGUAUCUUGUUAAGAUUUAUUCAAUUAUUAUCAAAAUAUUAGUCUGAUUGUAAUUUGUUGUAACUGCAUAUUCAUAAUAAGGUCAAAGAAUAACAAAAUAGUAUUUCAGAGGACGGUGGUAGAUGUGGUGUGGGUUUUGUGAUUUGAGAUCAUUAGCUCAGGCUGAUUGCGACAGGGGAGCGUCGCAUUUUUGAUGAGUAUGUCCAAGUGGCGGAGCUGCGCGCAGUGUGGGACGGCCUCGUUCAUACCAAAGUGCACAUAGGGGCUCAGCGUAUUCUGUUGGAGGGCGAUUCGGCCACAGUUUUGAGUGGAUUAGGGGUGGGCAUGCCGGGCCAGAUCUACACCCACUAGUCUGGAAUGUCUGCCACCUGUUGGGGAGUCUCGACUCAUUUGGGGUCGUACAUGUAUUCCGCAAUGCGAACAGUGCGGCGACUGAGUCACCUCUUUCGUAGCACAUCAUUCCGAAGCCUUCUCUUCGAAUGGCACUGACUUCAUUCCGUGGGGAUUGGCCAUGUUUUGUAUUUGGAUUCUUCGAGGCGUACUCACAUUUGAAUGUCGCGAGAUGCCGGUACAACAACAAAAAAAAAAAAAACAAAGCAGAAGCAAAAAUAAAAUUCUGCUUGUGCAAGUGACAUGCUGGCUCUUCCACCAUCCAACAUAUAUCCUUUAUUGACUAUAUUCAAAGAGGAAAGGUUAUAGAAGUGUGAUAGUUGUAGUAAGAAAGAUUUUGAUGCAUUCUUGAUGACCAUUUAAGUUUGGUCAAGAUGAAUGUAUUUGAGCAUCUUGGCAGGGUUACUAUUG